rnacentral:rRNA from 1 species
UCGAACAGAGGAGUGCAACAGACCCUGAAACCAUAUGCCUACAAGCGGUCGGAGCGGCUUAGUGCCGUGACGGCGUGCCUUUUGCAUAAUGAACCUACGAGUCACCGUCGUUGGCAAGGUUAAGGACAAUGAUGUCCGGAGCCGAAGCGAAAGCGAGUCCGAACAGGGCGUUGGAGUCAGCGGAGGUGGACGCGAAACCAAGUGAUCUACCCUUGGGCAGGUUGAAGGACAGGUAAAACUGUCUGGAGGACCGAACCGGUAAGCGUUGAAAAGCUUUCGGAUGACCUGAGGGUAGGAGUGAAAGGCCAAUCAAACUUGGAGAUAGCUCGUACUCCCCGAAAUGUAUUUAGGUGCAGCCUCGGAGAGAAUCUGACGGAGGUAGAGCGACUGAUAGGAUGCGAGGGCUUCACCGCCUAUCAAGUCCUGACAAACUCCGAAUGCCGUCAGACAUAUCCGGGAGUAAGGGCGCGGGUGCUAAGGUCCGCGUCCGAGAGAGGAACAACUCAGACCAUCGGCUAAGGUCCCGAAAUCCGGGCUAAGUUGAAGACAAUAACGAGGUGGGAUUGCAUAGACAGCUAGGAUGUUGGCUUGGAAGCAGCCAUUCAUUUAAAGAGUGCGUAACAGCUCACUAGUCGAGUGAUCCCGCGUGGAUAAUAAUCGGGCAUAAGUCCGGUACCGAAGCCAUGGAAUCACGCUUAGGGCGUGAUUGGUAGGGGAGCAUUCCGUACAGCGGCGAAGGUCGGUGGCGAUGCCGGCUGGAGCGUACGGAAAAGCAAAUGUAGGUAUAAGUAACGAUAAUGGAGGCGAGAAACCUCCACGCCGAAAGACCAAGGUUUCCUGAUCAACGCUAAUCGGAUCAGGGUAAGUCGGGACCUAAGGGGCAGCCGCGAGGCGGACCCGAUGGAAGAAACGGUAAAGAUUCCGUUACUGUCGCCGGGAGUGAAGCGGGGACGGAGGAGUGACACCGCCGCGGACUGACGGAAUAGUCCGUUGAAGAGUGUAGGUAUUCGGAGGCCAGGCAAAUCCGGUCUCCGAGCUGAACUUGACAGUACUGCGAGCCUUCGGGCAAGCAGACAGCGCGGGUAAGCAGACUCCCAAGAAAAUCCGCUAAACAUAUGUCGGCGACACCCGUACCGAAACGGACACACGUGGUCGGGUAGAACAUACUAAGGCGCUCGAGAGAUUCACCGUUAAGGAACUAGGCAAAUUGACCUCGUAACUUCGGGAUAAGGGGUCCCACAGCGAUGUGGGCGCAGAGAAUAGGUCCAGGCAACUGUUUAACAAAAACACAGGGCUGUGCGAAAUUUAAAGAUGAAGUAUACAGCCUGACACCUGCCCGGUGCCGGAAGGUUAAGAGGAGAAGUCAUCGCAAGAGAAGCUUUGAAUUGAAGCCCCGGUAAACGGCGGCCGUAACUAUAACGGUCCUAAGGUAGCGAAAUUCCUUGUCGGGUAAGUU